GACGAACGCUGGCGGCGUGCUUAACACAUGCAAGUCGAGCGGUAAGGCCUUUCGGGGUACACGAGCGGCGAACGGGUGAGUAACACGUGGGUGAUCUGCCCUGCACUUCGGGAUAAGCCUGGGAAACUGGGUCUAAUACCGGAUAUGACCUCCUAUCGCAUGGUGGGUGGUGGAAAGAUUUAUCGGUGCAGGAUGGGCCCGCGGCCUAUCAGCUUGUUGGUGGGGUAAUGGCCUACCAAGGCGACGACGGGUAGCCGACCUGAGAGGGUGACCGGCCACACUGGGACUGAGACACGGCCCAGACUCCUACGGGAGGCAGCAGUGGGGAAUAUUGCACAAUGGGCGAAAGCCUGAUGCAGCGACGCCGCGUGAGGGAUGACGGCCUUCGGGUUGUAAACCUCUUUCAGCAGGGACGAAGCGCAAGUGACGGUACCUGCAGAAGAAGCACCGGCUAACUACGUGCCAGCAGCCGCGGUAAUACGUAGGGUGCAAGCGUUGUCCGGAAUUACUGGGCGUAAAGAGUUCGUAGGCGGUUUGUCGCGUCGUUUGUGAAAACCAGCAGCUCAACUGCUGGCUUGCAGGCGAUACGGGCAGACUUGAGUACUGCAGGGGAGACUGGAAUUCCUGGUGUAGCGGUGAAAUGCGCAGAUAUCAGGAGGAACACCGGUGGCGAAGGCGGGUCUCUGGGCAGUAACUGACGCUGAGGAACGAAAGCGUGGGUAGCGAACAGGAUUAGAUACCCUGGUAGUCCACGCCGUAAACGGUGGGCGCUAGGUGUGGGUUCCUUCCACGGAAUCCGUGCCGUAGCUAACGCAUUAAGCGCCCC
rnacentral:rRNA from 1 species